rnacentral:rRNA from 1 species
CGUAGGGUGCGAGCGUUAAUCGGAAUUACUGGGCGUAAAGCGUGCGCAGGCGGUUAUAUAAGACAGUUGUGAAAUCCCCGGGCUCAACCUGGGAAUUGCAUCUGUGACUGUAUAGCUAGAGUACGGUAGAGGGGGAUGGAAUUCCGCGUGUAGCAGUGAAAUGCGUAGAUAUGCGGAGGAACACCGAUGGCGAAGGCAAUCCCCUGGACCUGUACUGACGCUCAUGCACGAAAGCGUGGGGAGCAAACAGGAUUAGAUACCCUGGUAGUCCACGCCCUAAACGAUGUCAACUGGUUGUUGGGUGCAUUAGUACUCAGUAACGAAGCUAACGCGUGAAGUUGACCGCCUGGGGAGUACGGCCGCAAGGUUG